CAGAAUUUAACUCAAAUUACGGCACGCAACUUCACCUGUUAAUAGCUGUAGCUGCAUUGACUGCUUAUUGGGCCUUGGUCGAUGACACAUUGCUUUAAGCGUAGCUGUCAAUGUCAAUAUUUCUUGCAGCUACAAUCUUAAUAAUUAAUUAUAUGCUGAUUUUACCGAAGUAUUUCACAAGAUAGCAGAUCGUUUUUUCUUUUUGCCCAAAAUGACAUAACAGGAAUCUUUAAAAUAAGAUGAUAAAAAAUGUGACGUGAUAGAGCAUUUUUGAUUAAAAUUUCUGCUUCUGCAUAAAAAAAUACUUUAUGAAACGCUCAUUGACAUAUCAGUUCCGGAAAUCGUGUAGACUAGUGUUAUUUUUAUUUAAUAUAUCUGGCAAUCUUUGAAGGUCGUUUGUUUUUCGUCUAACUGUUGAAAUUUUUUAUAUAAUUUGUUAUAUUUUAAUUGUAAUUUAUAUAUCAAUAUGUAGUAGUCGAUUAAUUGCAUUGUUUUGAAUGUAGUUUUUAAAAUUUUUUAAGGUUUAAUUUUGUACUUUUCGAAGAUAAAAUUGUUACUUAAACUUUGAUAUUCGGAUAUUUUUUCCCAGUUUAUAUUUUAGUAUGUUUCGUUAUAUAUGUUUCCGGGAAAAUUCGAUGUUCGCAGAUUAAGUCCCAGUUUAUGUAUGUUUUGUGUUUACUGAUAAAAUCGAUGGGAAAUUUAUAAUUUUUCCUGGUAUAGUUCGAUUUUAAUUUGUGAGGGAAUCGUUCUAGAAAUUUCAAGCUUAGAUCUUUUCUUUGACUUAAAAUAUUCCAGUCAAUUUGGUCGUGAAAUGGUAAUAAUUCCGAUUAAGAAGGGCUUAGAUAAAAUUCACUCCAUUUAUCUGUAUAAAAUAAAUUUCAUAUAUCUUUUCAUUAUAAUAAAUUUGUUAUUCAUUAGUUUCCAUUACAUCAUUCCUCAAAACCUUCGUCAUCCCAAUAUUCACAGCAUAUUGGAUUUAAUAUUUCAUAAUUUCUUAUUGUAUUAUCUAAUUCGAUUUUAAUAUUAGCUUUAUUUGAAGUUACAUAUGCAAUUGGAUUUCACCGAUCUAUAAUAAUACAUCCAAAAUAAAAAAACUAACAAUUUAAUAUAGUUAUUAGUAUGCGAAUUUGAUUUCCGAAGAUAUGUGAAUACACGGAGUUGUUCUUUCUUUGGGAUUAAUUUCUGAAUAAUCUUAUGGAAUUUUAAGAAUUAAAUCUGUCGAUAACAAUGAUAAAUCGCGAGAUUUAGUGCGAUAUAUAUACGCACUUUUUAAAAGUAAUCCAUAUUC
rnacentral:lncRNA from 1 species